CAAUACUAAUUGAUAAUAUUAAAUUAAUGUAAUAAUCUUGUUUUGUUACACCCUAAAUCACUGAGCGCACAAACGCUACCCCAGUUACAAGCAUGGGUGGUUGACUUCAUGCAGACAUGCGCAGACAUCGAAGUACCGCGAGAGUGAUUCAAAAGCCCACGAAACAGUGUAAUCACGCGGUACUGUGACGUCAUACUGGUUAACGCUAAGCCACGUGAAGCCGGACACAAGGGCUGCACUAAUCUUUGGGUUGGAGUAGCCUGUGGUUUUUAAGGCUUCCGUGUCUCGUCGCGUUAAACGAUCGCAGAACGAUUUAUUUCUCUUUUUCACCUCGAUCUUUGGCCUCUUGUGAUUUAACAAAACCAACAUGUGAAGUUACAACGCUGACGAAGGAGUUUCAUCAGUAGAGUGUGUCCUGGUAAACGUGUGCUCGGAAACAUGCAGAUUACAGUAUUUACAGAGCCGACCUUGAGGCACCCACUGAUGGAUAAUCUGUUUACCUAAAAACAGCCCACCACAAUCCAUGUUUACCAGCUGUGAAAGUGCAGGCCAAAAAUCUUCCUUCACAUGUAGAUAAGCACUUCAGGAGAAACCUGCCUGUUAUCUGCUAUAUCUGCUAAGAUGCACAGAUUCAACUCUGGCCCAUUGUCAUCCCAACACCUUAUCUGCCAUCAGUUUCGUUUAGUGUCGGUCUAUUGCAAAAGUUCUUAUAAACUUUAAAUGAGACUUUGUGUUAAGCAGGGGUUUCCAAACUUUUCAUUUCACAACAUAUUAAGCCCAGGAUACACAGCAGGAUUUUUGCAAUCCAAUAAGACCUUAUCACACUGUGUGACAAGAAUUGUUUAAACUUCAGCAGUAGACUGUCGAUGAAGACACCUAUUGCAUCUGAGGCUGCGACAUCCGUCAUCAGCAUGCGCUAGUGGUAAACAAAUACAGGUAUGCAGGUCGUAGAAGCAAACACGUUGUUGAUGUGCGUUGAUCAUGCUGAACUUCUUACACUGUCAUAAAACUAUCGUAGGACCACCAAUUAAGAGCCACGAUCACAGAAAUCUCCACGAUUGUUUCACGAUUGGUAAUCUUUCAUCUGGGACAGCCAAAAAUCGUG